GCACUGGUGGUUCAGUGGUAGAGUUCUCACCUUCCAUGUGGGAGACCUGGGUUCGAUUCCUGGCCGAUGUA
rnacentral:tRNA from 1 species